CAGUGGUUACGAAUCCUACUAGGAACCAUGAGGUUGCAGGUUCAAUCCCUGGCCUUGCUCAGUGGGUUAAGGAUCCGGCGUUGCCGUGAGCUGUGGUGUGGGUCACAGACGUGGCUCGGAUCUGGCGUUACUGUGGCUGUGGCGUAGGCCAGUGGCUACAGCUCCGAUUCGACCCCUAGCCUGGGAACCUCCAUAUGCCACAGGUGCAGCCCUAAAAAAGGCAAAAAAAAAAAAAAAAAAAAAAAAAAAUUCUGGCUAAAAACUGGAAUUCUGAUACUAAAGUAGACGGGUAGACUGGAUGUUGGAGACCAUGAGCAGAAUCAGACAUAGAAAGUUUUUCUGAAAUAAGAAGCAAAAAAGCACAAAUGUUAAAGAAAAAUAUUGGGGAGUUCCCAUCGUGGCGCAGUGGUUAACGAAUCUGACGAGGAACCAUGAGGUUGCAGGUUCGAUCCCUGCCCUUGCUCAGUGGGUUAACAAUCCGGCAUUGCCAUGAGCUGUGGUGUAGGUCGCAGACACGGCUCGGAUCCUGCGUUGCUGUGGCUCUGGCGUAGGCUGGCAGCUACAGCUCUGAUUGGACCCCUAGCCUGGGAACCUCCAUAUGCCGCAGGAGCAGCCCAAGAAAUGGCAAAAAGACAAAAAAAGAAAAAAAAAAAGAAAAAAAGAAAAAUAUUGGCAGCAGAGAUUAAAUUAAAAUUUUAAAUCUCUAAUAAAUAAAAUACUUAAAUUAUUUUAAUGAGUAAAUACUGACAACAAAUGAAUGUUAACUCUUAGUUUGGGGAAAGAUUUGCAGAGCUUAUACCUAAAUGUUUUAAAAUUUUACACAAAGGAUUGGGAUCUAUCAUAUAUAAAGAAUCCCUGCAAAUCAAUAAGAAAAAAGGUUAAAACCCAGUGCAUGAAACUUACCCGUAGGCACCCAGAAGAGACCAGAAAGGAUGUGUUGUGUCUGAGCAGAGGGUUCCAGACAAACCAGAUGAAGAGACAUGGAUCCAAGAAGCAAAGGGAUUUAAAUCCCAGAUGCCUAAUUGAGCACCAACAGUAAACUCAGCCUCGUACACGGAAAUCCUGGGGUAGGACUUAGCGGCCAAGAAGAGGAGACAGUGUGGUCCCUGCCCUCCAGGAGCAUCCAGUUCUGUCAUAAAGGGACCUGUGUCAGCACCAGGGGACUGGCCCUCAUUCCCGUGUCCAGUGCACACGACGGGUCCUGCCAUGUGUGGGAAAUACAAGCAUUUGGAUCUUGUUUUUCUUUUUUUGUCUGCCCUGUGGCAUAUGGAGUUCCCAGGGAUCAGAUCCAAGCUGCACCUGCAGCGACGCUGGAUCCUUUAAUCCCCUGUACCA
rnacentral:lncRNA from 1 species